rnacentral:snRNA from 1 species
GGAUGUGAGGGUGAUCCGGUGGAGACACCUGUCACACCAUUGCUUGUCACGCUUGAUUUGGCCCAUCUGGCCGGCUAAGUGUAUGUCCCCUUCCUCCCUCACAUGUAUCCCUCCUGAAGCUGUGUGCUCCAGCUAAGAAAAUGACCUUCCCUGAAGGAGGAGGACCUCUUCAGUCAGAGAGCCAUGCUUCCUUGCCACAUCUUUCAAGAAACAUUGCUAAGGGUUUGUAAAGAUGAAGCAGAGAAAGUCCAGGUGGCAAUGUAGAGAACAUCACUAAGCUAAUUAGCACUUCAGGUGGAGGGAGCUUUUACUA